ACACCUCAACUCCCAUGGUUUGCCAUGGUGAGCUUGGACUUUGGGGGUUUUGCUGGCCUGCGGUCAGCUCCUCUCAAAUGAAUUAGCCUGCCAGUGUUUGGUGGCAUCACAGGUGUGAUAAAUAUCUACGCUUGCGAUUGCCCACCAGGUAACCUUCAGCAAUGGAGGUUCACUGGGGCUCAUAGACGUCUCUCCUCGGUGAGGACAGCUUUGAAC
rnacentral:misc_RNA from 1 species